rnacentral:rRNA from 1 species
UGGAGAAAAUCCCAGAAAGCAAAGAAGUAAUCAAAAAAAAUAAUCAGCAACAAUGGAGCAUGAAGUGGAAAUCGCUAGUAAUCGCGGAUCAGCAAAAGUUCCCAAUACGUUCCCACACCCCCCCACACUCCCAAAGUCACCAACAGCCGCAAUUGCUUCAGAAGGCCUACUCACCAGUGUGCCACUCCCCUUGCGGGGCGUUCGACUUGCAUGUGUUAAGCCUGCCGCCAGCGUUCGUUCUGAGCCAGGAUCAAACUCUAAUCUAGAGCAUCGGAGUCCC